GACGAACGCUGGCGGCGUGCUUAACACAUGCGAGUCGAACGGAAAGGCCCUGCUUUUGUGGGGUGCUCGAGUGGCGAACGGGUGAGUAACACGUGAGUAACCUGCCCUUUACUUUGGGAUAACUCCAGGAAACUGGGGCUAAUACCGGGUAGGAGCUCCUGCUGCAUGGUGGGGGUUGGAAAGUUUCGGCGGUUGGGGAUGGACUCGCGGCUUAUCAGCUUGUUGGUGGGGUAGUGGCUUACCAAGGCUUUGACGGGUAGCCGGACUGAGAGGGUGACCGGCCACAUUGGGACUGAGAUACGGGCCAGACUCCUACGGCAGGCAUCAGUGGGGAAUAGUGCACGAUGCGCUGAAUCAUUAUGCAGCAACGCCGCAUGCGGGAUGACGGCCUUCGGGUUGUAAAGCGCUUUCGCCUGUGACGAAGCGAGAGUGACGGUAAUGGGUAAAGAAGCAACGGCUAACUACGUG
rnacentral:rRNA from 1 species